rnacentral:rRNA from 1 species
GACGAACGCUGGCGGCGUGCUUAACACAUGCAAGUCGAACGCUGAAGACCUGGCUUUUGUUGGGUUGGAUGAGUGGCGAACGGGUGAGUAACACGUGAGUAACCUGCCCUCUUCUUCGGGAUAACGCCCGGAAACGGGUGCUAAUACUGGAUAUUCACUGGCCUUCGCAUGGGGGUUGGUGGAAAGGUUUGUUCUGGUGGGGGAUGGGCUCGCGGCCUAUCAGCUUGUUGGUGGGGUGAUGGCCUACCAAGGCUUUGACGGGUAGCCGGCCUGAGAGGGUGACCGGUCACAUUGGGACUGAGAUACGGCCCAGACUCCUACGGGAGGCAGCAGUGGGGAAUAUUGCACAAUGGGCGAAAGCCUGAUGCAGCGACGCCGCGUGAGGGAUGGAGGCCUUCGGGUUGUAAACCUCUUUCGCUCAUGGUCAAGCCGCAACUGUGGGUUGUGGUGAGGGUAGUGGGUAAAGAAGCGCCGGCUAACUACGUG